UACGUAGGGUGCAAGCGUUGUCCGGAACUAUUGGGCGUAAAGAGCUCGUAGGCGGUCUGUCGCGUCGGCUGUGAAAACUCGGGGCUCAACCCCGAGCCUGCAGUCGAUACGGGCAGACUAGAGUGCGGUAGGGGAGACUGGAAUUCCUGGUGUAGCGGUGAAAUGCGCAGAUAUCAGGAGGAACACCGGUGUCGAAGGCGGGUCUCUGGGCCGUAACUGACGCUGAGGAGCGAAAGCGUGGGGAGCAAACAGG
rnacentral:rRNA from 1 species